ACGGAGGAUGCGAGCGUUAUCCGGAUUUAUUGGGUUUAAAGGGUGCGUAGGCCGGAUGGUAAGUCAGUGGUGAAAAGUUGCAGCUCAACUGUAACCGUGCCGUUGAAACUGCCGUUCUUGAGUGCGGACAAGGCAGGCGGAACUCGUGGUGUAGCGGUGAAAUGCUUAGAUAUCACGAAGAACUCCGAUUGCGAAGGCAGCUUGCCGGGCCGCAACUGACGCUGAAGCACGAAAGUGUGGUUAUCAAACAGG
rnacentral:rRNA from 1 species